rnacentral:rRNA from 1 species
UACAGAGGUCCCAAGCGUUGUUCGGAUUCACUGGGCGUAAAGGGUGCGUAGGCGGUCGGGUAAGUCUGACGUGAAAUCUUCAAGCUCAACUUGGAAACUGCGUCGGAUACUAUUCGGCUAGAGGAAUGGAGGGGAGACUGGAAUACCUGGUGUAGCAGUGAAAUGCGUAGAUAUCAAGUGGAACACCAGUGGCGAAGGCGAGUCUCUGGACAUUUCCUGACGCUGAGGCACGAAAGCCAGGGGAGCAAACGGG